AGUGUUUUUAAGACUUUUUUGCAAAUACAUGAAUGCAAAGCUUAUUUGCAAAACGGUUGGGAUGCUCUUAGCAGAAUAUUCAGCUGUUGGGAAAAUUAGCUGAAUCUGACGACCAAGUCUGUCUCUCUGCUCCCAUGGGCCCACCUGGACCCCACGCCUAAAACCGCAAAAGCAGAGCACGAAGCAGAACAGAGAAGCAGAUCCCACCACUCCCUCCUCUUCUUCACUUGCUCCGCCGCCGCGCCGCCCUUCGCUGCUCGGGCCCACCCGGCCAACCAUGGAAGCAGAUCCGCCACCGCCAGCGAGCGCGCUGAUGGAGGAGCUGGUGGAGGAGGUCCUGCUGCGCUUCCCACCUGCCGACCCAGCGAGCCUCGUCCGUGCCGCGCUCGUCUGCAGGCGCUGGCGCCGCCUCGUCACGGGGCCGCGGUUCCACCGCCGCUACCGCGACCUCCACCUCCACCGCGGGCGUGGGGGUUCGUCGCCCCCGAUGCUGGGCUUCCUCGCCGACGCGGGCACGGGGACCCUCUUCGUGCCCACCUCCACCUUCCGCCCCGCACCCGCAUCCGCGCGGGCUGGCACGGACGGCGGCGGCGGCGGCGCCCUUCUCCUCGGCGGUUGGCUCGCGCUCGACGCUCGCCACGGCCGCGCCCUCCUGCGCCGGGACACCGGCCGCGACGCGCCCGUCGACUGCCAGCUCGCCGUCUGGGACCCCGCCACGGGCCGCCGCACGGACCUGCCCCGCCUCCCCUGGUCGCCCUACUACCCCUACAGCUGGAACGCCGCGGUGCUCUGCGCCGCCGCGGCCACCACCGCCGCCGCCGCCGCCUGCGACCACCUCGACUGCUCCGGCGGCGGUGGCCACUUCGUCGUCGUUGUCGUGGGCACCAACCACGCGGAGAUGUACGCCCACGUCUACUCGUCCGAGACGGCCGCGUGGAGCGCGCCCGCGUCCGCUCGGCACCCCGACGACAACGUCGACUUCGCGCCGAGCGCGCUCGCGGGGGACGCGCUCUACUUCGCGUUCCAGACGGGCACGGCGGCCCUGGAGUUUGAUUUGCGCACGCGGGAGAUGGCGGUGGUGCGCCUGCCGCAGCCACGCUUUCACUGGCAGCGCGUCGUGCUCGCCAGCAGGGAGGAUGGUCGUCGUCUGGGACUCGCCACGGCAGGCAAGUCCGCGAUCUACCUGUGGGCGAGGGAGGCGCGGUCUGGAAGUGAUGGGGAUUGGGUACAUACCAGAGCCGUCGAGCUCGACACGCUGCUCCCUGCUGGUGCCAUUUCAGCCUUUCCUGAUGUGGUUAGCUUUGUGGAGGGCGUCGGUGUCGUUAUUGUGAGGACGGGUGAUGGGCUCUUCACCAUUGAUCUCAAGUCUCUCCAGAUCACAAAGGUUUUCAACGACACUGCCUUCUCUGGCAUUUUCCCCUACAUGAGCUUCUACACACCAGCACUGGAAGUUGCCUCAACUGGUCAGGGGCCAAGUUCAGGUGCAUAAGGUGCUUAUGUGCUGGUUUCUCAGUCAAGGGGAAACUUAGUUGCUUCUCGUUCUUACCCUUCCUGCAGCGUUGUCUUCCUGAGGAGCAAGAGAGAACUCCCAAAUGGAAAGUUUCCUUUCUGCAGUCUUGGAAGAAUGGUUUAUUUUUUAAUCCAUUUGCUAGGCGGCGGCAGUCAAGAGCCUUCUGAAGAUUUGAUGAUUUUUCAUCAGUAUCACCAGUGUUCGCAAGUGGAGGUUCCAAGAUAAGAAUCCAAGAUGUGCUGUAUGGAAGCAUCGAGAGACAAGGAAAAUUUGAGGUCCAAAUUACAGGUGUGAAGAGGAAGCAUUGUAUGAAAGAUGGAGCCAGAUUCUGUUAAUUUUGUCAUUUUCUGGUUUAUGCAGAGUUAAUUCUGAUGUGCAUGAGUCCUUGCCUUAUGGAGAUGGCAAGCCAAGCAGAGUCUCGCUGGUUCAAGAAGAUUUGGCAUCCCACCAAUCUCUGGCCCAAAAGAGUUGGAAAUUGACUGGAGUUAGUUGUAAUAAUUUUUUUUUUGACAUCACAUGAUUGAAUAGGCAUACAGAUCUGUCAAGGACCUGUACUGUAACUGUGCAGCAGUUUGAUCUGGUAUACUGCUUGCUCUGUUUUCUUGUGUACACUUGAAUGAUUGCAAUCAUAGUCAUAGUGCUCAAAUCACACCAACUUAAAGGUAUCUACUGCAAUAUGCUAAGGCCCUGUUUGGUUCCUCUAGAUUUUUUUUUACUCC